ensembl:lncRNA
GGGGAGCCGCGGCGGGCAGUGCCGCUCGACGCUGCGGCCGGGCCGGGGUUGGGCCUGCUGGACCUCUUGUGCCCUGUAAUGGAAGAAAAGUUUGAAAAUGUCAGAGCACGCUGCUUCCCAGCCCGCCGGCGUUUGUUUGGCACCGCCGUUUUCUCCGCUUUGAACUACUGCUAUGAUCUACAGAGAGAUCUGAGAACUCGUACCAGCAGUCCUUUGAGAUCAAAUCCUGCAUUGAUUUCAAAAUGCAACAGCGAGAGCACUUGAACUUCAGUCCUGUUUUUGCACACCACAGAAAAACAUCAUAGAUGACAAUCAAAGACUCAUAGAAUAUUCUGAGUUGAAAGGUACUCCCAGGGAUCACAGAAUCACAGAAUCAUGGCAUCAUAGAAUCUUUAGAGUUGUAAGGGGGCCUUAAAGGUCAUCUAGUCCAACUCAC